rnacentral:rRNA from 1 species
UACGAAGGGUGCAAGCGUUACUCGGAAUUACUGGGCGUAAAGCGUGCGUAGGUGGUUCGUUAAGUCUGAUGUGAAAGCCCGGAGCUCAACUCCGGAACUGCCAUUGAAACUGUUUAGCUUGAGGAUGAGAGAGGUGAGUGGAAUUCCCAGUGUAGAGGUGAAAUUCGUAGAUAUUGGGAAGAACACCGGUGGCGAAGGCGGCUCACUGGCUCAUUACUGACGCUCAGGCGCGAUAGCGUGGGGAUCAAACAGG